CCAAAAGGACAUCCUGCAUCAUUCCAUUUGUAUUAAGUCUAAGAGAUGACAAAACUAAUCUAUGGUGACAGAAAUCAGAGAAGAGGUGAAGGGUAGGAUGGGGGCGUGGACAACAGGGAAAGGAGAAUGCCCAGAGACGCUACUCUAAACCAGGCCUGUCCUCCAAAACAACGGGGGAAGCCAAGCAUAAUGAGAUUUGAGCUAAAUAAGAUAAAAUAAGAUCUGUCACAGACGUAUCAGAAAAGUCCUUUUCAAUGUUAAAGAUAGGAAAUAUGAUUUAGCUUCCUAAUCACAAAUAUUGGAUACCAACUUACCAAUACUGCUC
rnacentral:lncRNA from 1 species